CCCCUAGUAACGGCGAGUGAAGAGGGAAGAGCUCAAAUUUGAAAGCUGGUACCUUCGGUAUCCGCGUUGUAACCUCGAGACACGUUUUCCGUGCGGCGCUAUGGACAAGUUCCUUGGAACAGGACAUCGUAGAGGGUGAAAAUCCCGUACUUGCCAUGGAUGUACCGUGCUUUGCGAUACGUGCUCUAAGAGUCGAGUUGUUUGGGAUUGCAGCUCAAAAUGGGUGGUAGACUCCAUCUAAAGCUAAAUAUCGGGGAGAGACCGAUAGCGAACAAGUACCGUGAGGGAAAGAUGAAAAGCACUUUGGAAAGAGAGUUAAAAGUACGUGAAAUUGUCGAAAGGGAAGCGCUUGAAGUCAGCCAUGCCGCUCAGGACUCAGCCUGGCUUUUGCUUGGUGUAUUUCCUGGGUAGCAAGUCAGCAUUGGUUUGGAUCGUCGGAGAAGCAUAGUCGGAAUGUGGCGCCCUCGGGCGUGUUAUAGCCUUCUAUUGGAUACGACGAUCUAGACCAAGGAACGCAGCGCGCCUUAUGGCGGGUCUUCGGACACCUUCGCGCUUAG
rnacentral:rRNA from 2 species